GCGACCCACACCAGUCGACUAACACCCAGGUACCUAUUUGCUGCUAGGUGAACAGGACAACAGGUGUAAGGAAACGUGUCGAAAUGUUUCCACCCGCCGGGAAUCGAACCCGGGCCCUCCGUGUGUGAAGCGGGAGCUUUAGCCACCAGGCCACCGGGCCUGCUGUCUGCUGGUUAGUGGUCGUAAACCUUAGCCAGGCUCGUGAUCCAAGGAACGAGAACUACAUUUUCCUUCCUCGUAUCAAAUCGUAUUAACCCAAUAUCUCCAAGAUGCUUUAUAACCUCUCUUUAGCUUAAAACAGUGUGAUCUUUGGUGGCCCUUUACAACCCUAACAACAGCAGUGACACAUCUAAAUUACUAUCAGAAGGAACCUUGGAGAAGAAUAUUACAUCUGGCACAACCACCGGGAGGAGUACAAACCUCUUUAAGUACACUGCUUCCAAUCACACCAAGAGGGCACACCACUGAAGAGACCAACCCCUUGCCUCUCACCCCAUACUCAAACGGAGUAAACGUUCAACAG